UGUUUUUUGUGUUUCUUUUUGUGUUUGAGCCAAGCAAAACUUUUAUGACUAGUCUUGGUGAGGGUUGUUUGAUCCUGCUGGAAAAAGACAGAAACUUUUCCCUCACGAGAUGAUUUUUAAUUUUUAUUCAGAAAGAGAUUUUGAGUUGACUCUUUUUUCUACUCGUUGAUAUGCCUUUUUCCCACGCAGUCGUAAGUUUUCAGAAUUUUUGAGGUACC
rnacentral:lncRNA from 1 species